CAUAUUGCAACACACACAGAUACACAGACUUACACAGUGACAGACACUGCCAGACAUGCAUACAUAUAAAUACUGCCCAAUACACACUUUUACACACAAAUACACACAGCCAGACACAUCCAUACAGAUACGCCCAGACAUGGGAGAUGUCUAAUUAAACUGUGAGAGAGAGGGUCUGAUGUGAAAUGGUGAUAUAGAAAGGAGAAAUGAUGUGUA